rnacentral:misc_RNA from 1 species
GAUGAAGAACGCAGCGAAAUGCGAUAAGUAAUGUGAAUUGCAGAAUUCAGUGAAUCAUCGAAUCUUUGAACGCACAUUGCGCCCCCUGGUAUUCCGGGGGGCAUGCCUGUCCGAGCGUCAUUACAACCCUCAAGCUCAGCUUGGUGUUGGGCCCCGCCGCCCCGGCGGGCCCUAAAGUCAGUGGCGGUGCCGUCCGGCUCCGAGCGUAGUAAUUCUUCUCGCUCUGGAGGUCCGGUCGUGUGCUCGCCAGCAACCCCCAAUUUUUUUUAGGUUGACCUCGGAUCAGGUAGGGAUACCCGCUGAACUUAAGCAUAUCAAAAGCGGAGGA